GAUGAAGAACGUAGCGAAAUGCGAUAAGUAAUGUGAAUUGCAGAAUUCAGUGAAUCAUCGAAUCUUUGAACGCACAUUGCGCCCGCCAGUAUUCUGGCGGGCAUGCCUGUUCGAGCGUCAUUUCAACCAUCAAGCCCCCGGCUUGUGUUGGGGACCUGCGGCUGCCGCAGGCCCUGAAAACCAGUGGCGGGCUCGCUAGUCACUCCGAGCGUAGUAAUACAUCUCGCUCAGGGCGUGCUGCGGGUUCCGGCCGUUAAAAAGCCUUAUUUACCCAAGGUUGACCUCGGAUCAGGUAGGAAGACCCGCUGAACUUAAGCAUAUAAAUAAGCGGAGGA
rnacentral:misc_RNA from 1 species